rnacentral:rRNA from 1 species
GACGAACGCUGGCGGCGUGCUUAACACAUGCAAGUCGAACGGAAAGGCCCUGCUUUUGUUGCUUUCUCGAUUGGCGAACGGGUGAGUAACACGUGUGUAACCUGCCCUUGUCUUUGUGAUAAAUUCAGGGGACUGGGGCUAAUACCGGAUAGGAUCUCCUGCUGCACGGUGGUGGUUGGUAAGUUUCGGCGGUUGGGGAUGGUUUCGCGGCUUAUCAGCUGGUUGGUGGGGUAGUGGCUUCCCAAGGGUUUGACGGGUAGCCGGCCUGAGAGGGUGGCCAGCGACAUUGGGACUGAGGUAGGGAGCAGUAGGGUAUCGGACGCAGCGGUGGGGAAUAUUGCGGAGUGGGGGGAAGCGUGAGACAGCAGUGUCGGGUGCGGAAUGCUCGCUUUCGGGUUGUAAACCGAUUUCGAAGUUGACGAAGCGUGAGUGACGGUAAUGGGUCAGGAAGCCCCGGCUAACUACGUG